AAAUGAUGGGGUACGGGGGACCCCUGGGCCAGUAGGUUAGGUUACGACGGCUGUCUGCUUGGGCUCUUGAUCGGCUUGAUCAGACAACCGGCGCCUUGCUGAGAACGCGAGUACGCCUGUGCGCUGCGCUUGUGUGUUGUGCAUCAUGAAGGUACGCGAUGUUCAUAUCCAGUGUUAGCAACAAUGUUGGUGGAUGGCGCGCAUCAGACUUCGACAUUGGAACAGCAAUAACACGCGUUUGCGCGAAGUCUUGCAGCCUGUCCAAGGAGCGUUGAGCUGCUCCCCCCAAAGCCCAGCGCAGCGCUGUCCCCGCCGUCGCCUGCGUACCGCCUUAAAAAUCCGUUCCAAAGCCUUAGAGCAACAGUACGUGAGGCAAUUCUGAUGCGUGUGUAGUAAGUGCGAUUUGAAUUCACGGGAGCACGUUUUUACGAGAUGAUCCACGCAAGUGGAUGAACGUUGACUUUGGACUGUCGUACAGUUGCCCCUAUUGCCGUUGCAUAAAGCCAUUCAGUCCCACACAUGAGUGUCGAUCGAAGCUAGCGAUGCAUUGAGGAAGUAAGCUUCGAUUGGAUACAGGUGCAACCACCGGGCUGCGCAUUGUUUGGAGGCG
rnacentral:lncRNA from 1 species